rnacentral:rRNA from 1 species
UGGGGAAUCUUGCGCUAAUGCGGGAAACCGUGACGCAGCGACGCCGCGUGAGGGAAGAAGGCCUUCGGGUUGUAAACCUCUUUCAGGAGGGACGAAGCUACUCGGGUUAAUAGCCCAGAGGGUGACGGUACCUCCAGAAGAAGCCCCGGCUAACUACGUGCCAGCAGCCGCGGUAAUACGUAGGGGGCAAGCGUUGUCCGGAUUUAUUGGGCGUAAAGAGCGUGUAGGCGGCUUUGCAAGUCCGUUGUGAAAACUCGAGGCUCAACCUCGAGACGCCGGUGGAAACUGCAAAGCUAGAGUCCGGAAGAGGAGAGUGGAAUUCCUGGUGUAGCGGUGAAAUGCGCAGAUAUCAGGAAGAACACCCGUGGCGAAGGCGGCUCUCUGGGACGGUACUGACGCUGAGACGCGAAAGCGUGGGGAGCGAACAGGAUUAGAUACCCGCGUAGUCC